AAAAGAGAAAAGUUAAAACCUAAGGCAUCAAAAGAAGCAGGUGGAGUCUUGUGUUUCCUUUUUCUCCAGGCUGAACUCCUGAUAGCCACAGGAGGGACCCCACAGCUGCAGCAGCCCAAGCUAUUCUCGGCUUUGCUGCGUCACUUCCUGAGCUGCUGCCUGCAGAAAAACGAGGAGCGGCGCUGGUCUGCCAAGGAGCUCCUGCAGCAUCCAUUUGUAACAUCAGCCAAGCCUGUGUCCAUCCUGCUGCCACUGAUCCAGUCAGUGAAGAAGUGGAAGGAGGAGGAGAAAAGAUGGCAGUGGCAAUCCAUCCAUUCAGGACUAUUUUCUUCAUGACCAGUUUAGAUUAGGAUUGUAGAGUACAAUUGUACUCUACAUGGAUGGCAAAUAAAUAAAGUUUCUGGAACCCCAA